GCUCGUGGAUCGAUGAAGACCGCAGUUAAAUGCGCUUCAGAUUGUAAAAUGCAGGACACAUGAUCACCGACAAGUUGAACGCAUAUUGCACACCGUACAACAGUACGAUGUACACAUUUUUGAAGGCCUAUAUUUAUCUAUUCAACUGUACGUGCGUGCGCGUCCCGCCGGCCGAACGGCUGGCGCGAGGAUAGGCGCACCCCUUACGCGUAGUGACGUUUUCUCGGCCCGGCCCGGUAAAACAUUCAAGAUAGUCAGGUGUGCCGCGACCGGGCGCGGUUGAUGAAUACAUCCCCUAGAGCAACGCGUUUGGUUAUGUUGUAUUUCAUCGGCAGUACCACCACCACCCAGUAGGCCUCAAAUAAUGUGUGACUACCCCCUAAAUUUAAGCA
rnacentral:rRNA from 1 species